rnacentral:rRNA from 1 species
GAUGAACGCUGACAGAAUGCUUAACACAUGCAAGUCAACUUGAAUUUGGGUUUUUAACUUAGGUUUGGGUGGCGGACGGGUGAGUAACGCGUAAAGAACUUGCCUCACAGCUAGGGACAACAUUUGGAAACGAAUGCUAAUACCUAAUAUUAUGAUAAUAGGGCAUCCUAUAAUUAUGAAAGCUAUAAGCGCUGUGAGAGAGCUUUGCGUCCCAUUAGCUAGUUGGAGAGGUAACGGCUCACCAAGGCGAUGAUGGGUAGCCGGCCUGAGAGGGUGAUCGGCCACAAGGGGACUGAGACACGGCCCUUACUCCUACGGGAGGCAGCAGUGGGGAAUAUUGGACAAUGGACCGAGAGUCUGAUCCAGCAAUUCUGUGUGCACGAUGAAGUUUUUCGGAAUGUAAAGUGCUUUCUGUUGGGAAGAAACAAAUGACGGUACCAACAGAAGAAGUGACGGCUAAAUACGUG